UGGGGAAUAUUCCGCAAUGGACGAAAGUCUGACGGAGCAACGCCGCGUGAGUGAUGAAGGUUUUCGGACUGUAAAGCUCUGUUGUUUAGGACGAAAGUGCCUGUUGCAAAUAGUUGCAGGUAUUGACGGUACUGAACGAGGAAGCCACGGCUAACUACGUGCCAGCAGCCGCGGUAAUACGUAGGUGGCAAGCGUUGUCCGGAAUUAUUGGGCGUAAAGAGCAUGUAGGUGGAUACUUAAGUCUGUUGUGAAAAUGCGGGGCUCAACCCCGUAUUGCGAUGGAAACUGGGUGUCUUGAGUGCAGGAGAGGAAAGGGGAAUUCCCAGUGUAGCGGUGAAAUGCGUAGAUAUUGGGAGGAACACCAGUGGCGAAGGCGCCUUUCCGGACUGUGUCUGACACUGAGAUGCGAAAGCUAGGGGAGCGAACGGGAUU
rnacentral:rRNA from 1 species